rnacentral:rRNA from 1 species
AACGAACGCUGGCGGCAUGCCUAACACAUGCAAGUCGAACGAGACCUUCGGGUCUAGUGGCGCACGGGUGCGUAACGCGUGGGAAUCUGCCCUUGGGUUCGGAAUAACAGUUGGAAACGACUGCUAAUACCGGAUGAUGACGUAAGUCCAAAGAUUUAUCGCCCAAGGAUGAGCCCGCGUAGGAUUAGCUAGUUGGUGAGGUAAAGGCUCACCAAGGCGACGAUCCUUAGCUGGUCUGAGAGGAUGAUCAUCCACACUGGGACUGAGACACGGCCCAGACUCGUACGGGAGGGAGGAGUGUGGAAUAUUGGACAAGGGGCGAAAGCCUGAUCCAGCAAUGCGGGGUGAGAGAUGAAGGCCUUAGUGUUGUAAAGCUCUUUUACCCGGGAUGAUAAUGACAGUACCGGGAGAAUAAGCGCCGGCUAACUCCGUG